rnacentral:rRNA from 1 species
AGAAUCUUUCGCAAUGCCCGAAAGGGUGACGAAGCGACGCCGCGUGCGGGAAGAAGGCCUUCGGGUUGUAAACCACUGUCGGGAGUUAAGAAGUGUAAGGGUGUUAAGAGCAUCCUUACUUGACGUUAGCUCCGGAGGAAGCCACGGCUAACUCUGUGCCAGCAGCCGCGGUAAUACAGAGGUGGCAAGCGUUGUUCGGAAUUAUUGGGCGUAAAGAGCACGUAGGCGGCCCUGCAAGUCAGCUGUGAAAUCCUUCUGCUCAACGGAAGAACGGCAGUUGAUACUACAGGGCUAGAGUGCGGGAGGGGAGAGUGGAACUUCUGGUGGAGCGGUGAAAUGCGUAGAUAUCAGAAGGAACAUCGGCGGCGAAAGCGACUCUCUGGUCCGUAACUGACGCUGAGGUGCGAAAGCUAGGGGAGCAAACGGGAUUAGAUACCCCGGUAGUCCUAGCCGUAAACGAUGGGCACUCGGUAGAGGGGUUUUGAUUAUCUCUCUGCCUGAGCUAACGCGUUAAGUGCCCCGCCUGGGGAGUACGGCCGCAAGGCUAAGACUCAAAAGAAUUGACGGGGGCUCGCACAAGCGGUGGAGCAUGUGGCUUAAUUCGAUGCAACACGAAGAACCUUACCGGGGCUUGACAUGGUAGAAGUAGGAGCCCGAAAGGGUAACGAACGGUAUCCAGUCCGUCACUAUCACAGGUGUUGCAUGGCUG